rnacentral:misc_RNA from 1 species
AACGUACACAACUGCGCCAGUGAUUGCUGAAGCCAAUGGUGAAGCCAGGAAGGCAGCGGUAUUACCCACCUCCUCUGUUUCAAUAAACAUAAGUUUACAAAAGUUAAAUGGAAGAACAAAGUGGGAAGCAAUGCAUGUAACUGAAUGGCUGUAUUUGGUCAUAACAUUGUCGACCAUUUUUUUAUCUAGUCAGUUGGGGAUAGAAAAAUUACAUGCAAAAGAAAAGAUUAUUCUAAAUAAAGAUAAAAUUUUAACUUUGGGAAAUUGAUUAAAAAAAAAACUUCAUAUUCUACAGAAACUGGCUAAUUACUUCACCCCUCCCCCAGUUUUUUUGUUUUAUUAUUCUGGCAGUACAAUCAAAUGCAAACUAAGCUGUACGGCAGUUCAUACUCACCUGCAGAUAGUUCCUUCUGUAGA